CAGCUUAGCUUUAUCACUGCCAUGUCAUGGGGCAGUUCCUCCCUUGAAGGGAAGAUUGAGGCUGCAUUGAAAUUGGAUCGUAAUAUUUCUUUCUCAAAGCCGCAUGGUCGUGUCUCGAGAUUCGUGUAAUUCAAGAUUUUGCAAUUGAGAGUACACUGAGAUUGGGGACCCAGAGAUUUUAGGGACUCGGAAUUUUGUGUCCUCGCAAUCAUGGU
rnacentral:lncRNA from 1 species